UCUGCAAGAUCAACCCGGCUCCUAAGGUGGCAAAUUCUGGUCCAAGAGGCCGAAAAAGGUGGCCCUGAAGCAAGCCAGGCCGCCUCCAAAAAAGAAAUCCAAGAGAAAAAGCAAAGCCGCCAUUACUGAACCGUCUGAUGUGGACAAAUCCCAAAUCGGUGACGUAUCUUUAGAGAAUGAUGGCAGCGAAAGCCAAGAAGACUCCGUAGAGG